rnacentral:rRNA from 1 species
GAUGAACGCUGGCGGCGUGCCUAAUACAUGCAAGUCGAGCGAACGGACGAGAAGCUUGCUUCUCUGAUGUUAGCGGCGGACGGGUGAGUAACACGUGGAUAACCUACCUAUAAGACUGGGAUAACUUCGGGAAACCGGAGCUAAUACCGGAUAAUAUUUUGAACCGCAUGGUUCAAAAGUGAAAGGCGGUCUUGCUGUCACUUAUAGAUGGAUCCGCGCUGCAUUAGCUAGUUGGUAAGGUAACGGCUUACCAAGGCAACGAUGCAUAGCCGACCUGAGAGGGUGAUCGGCCACACGGGAACGGAGACACGGUCCAGACUCCUACGGGAGGCAGCAGUAGGGAAUCUUCCGCAAUGGGCGAAAGCCUGACGGAGCAACGCCGCGUGAGUGAUGAAGGUCUUCGGAUCGUAAAACUCUGUUAUUAGGGAAGAACAUAUGUGUAAGUAACUGUGCACAUCUUGACGGUACCUAAUCAGAAAGCCACGGCUAACUACGUG